GAGCAUAGCAGAAACCAGCUGCUAUGAGAUUAAGAAUCUAAGCAGUACUUCAAUUUAUUAGGAGAUACAAUACAUGCACUAUUUUAUGUUAUCAUUCCCUUCUGAUUCUCUUGAGUAGUUUUACAUGCUUAAGUAGUUCUACAGUACCUUUUUUAGAAAUCUUUAGAAAUUGUUUUAGGUGUGUGGAUGUAGCUCAGUAGUAGAGAGCUUACGUAGCAUGUGCAAAGCCCUACAUUUAAUCUCUAGCAUGUCAAAAAGAAAAAAAAAGAUGAAGAAAUUGUUUUUGAUAAGAUUUGGUAGUAAAACCCCAUAACUAUUAUUCAUCUGCAAAUAUUCUUUUAUCACCUUUUUAAAAAUUAGUCUUUUUUUACUUUUAUUUUAAAAUAAUUAUAUUCAUAGGAAGUUGCAAAGAAAUUGCAAAGAGGUUGGUGCUUCGUGCUGCACCAACUCCUUGCAAUUCUAGUUCCCUGCUGUCUGGCCCCAGUUUCCCACAUUCCUAGCUACUCAAAAUACAACCCAAACUUGAAUUAUUUGUGGAAUGUGAUUAUUGGCUGGGUUGAGGUCUCUUCUACUGUGUAUGUGAGGUGAGCAAAGCCUCAGACUGUAUGUCUAACGAAGCAGGACAUAUGGAGGGAGAUUCCCUCAAAGCUUGGCCCUUUGUAACUGUUGAUUGUUCCAGAUAAACUUUAGAAUCUAGAACUUUGUAAGCUCUAGAGGAAACUCCCACUGGGUUUUAAUUGAUUACAUUAAAACUCAUGUAUUAAUUUUGAGAAAAAUUGUAUGUUUACAUUCCCAUUUGGGAACGUGAUCUCUUUCUCCAUUUUUCAAGACUUUUAUACCCUUUGGUUUGUGUCUUUUCCCGCCCAUGUAAAAUCCUACAUGAUUCUAAAUUAUUUAAGUUCCUAGGUAACUACAAAUCCCCAUUGUUAUUUUGAAG
rnacentral:lncRNA from 1 species